rnacentral:rRNA from 1 species
AAGAUUAAUACAAGAUGGCAUCAUGAGUCCGCAUGUUCACAUGAUUAAAGGUAUUCCGGUAGACGAUGGGGAUGCGUUCCAUUAGAUAGUAGGCGGGGUAACGGCCCACCUAGUCUUCGAUGGAUAGGGGUUCUGAGAGGAAGGUCCCCCACAUUGGAACUGAGACACGGUCCAAACUCCUACGGGAGGCAGCAGUGAGGAAUAUUGGUCAAUGGGCGAGAGCCUGAACCAGCCAAGUAGCGUGAAGGAUGACUGCCCUAUGGGUUGUAAACUUCUUUUAUAAAGGAAUAAAGUCGGGUAUGCAUACCCGUUUGCAUGUACUUUAUGAAUAAGGAUCGGCUAACUCCGUGCCAGCAGCCGCGGUAAUACGGAGGAUCCGAGCGUUAUCCGGAUUUAUUGGGUUUAAAGGGAGCGUAGAUGGAUGUUUAAGUCAGUUGUGAAAGUUUGCGGCUCAACCGUAAAAUUGCAGUUGAUACUGGAUAUCUUGAGUGCAGUUGAGGCAGGCGGAAUUCGUGGUGUAGCGGUGAAAUGCUUAGAUAUCACGAAGAACUCCGAUUGCGAAGGCAGCCUGCUAAGCUGCAACUGACAUUGAGGCUCGAAAGUGUGGGUAUCAAACAGGAUUAGAUACCCUGGUAGUCCACACGGUAAACGAUGAAUACUCGCUGUUUGCGAUAUACGGCAAGCGGCCAAGCGAAAGCGUUAAGUAUUCCACCUGGGGAGUA